AUUGAACGCUGGCGGCAUGCCUUACACAUGCAAGUCGAACGGCAGCGCGGGCUUCGGCCUGGCGGCGAGUGGCGGACGGGUGAGUAAUGCAUCGGAACGUGCCCAGGCGUGGGGGAUAACGUAGCGAAAGUUACGCUAAUACCGCAUACGUACUGCGGUAGAAAGCGGGGGAUCGAAAGACCUCGAGCCAAUGGAGCGGCCGAUGUCGGAUUAGCUAGUUGGCGGGGUAAAAGCCCACCAAGGCGACGAUCCGUAGCUGGUCUGAGAGGACGACCAGCCACACUGGGACUGAGACACGGCCCAGACUCCUACGGGAGGCAGCAGUGGGGAAUCUUGGACAAUGGGGGAAACCCUGAUCCAGCAAUGCCGCGUGUGGGAUGAAGGCCCUCGGGUUGUAAACCACUUUUGGCAGGAAAGAAAUCGCCUGUGCUAAUACCAUGGGCGGAUGACGGUACCUGCAGAAUAAGCACCGGCUAACUACGUGCCAGCAGCCGCAGUAA
rnacentral:rRNA from 1 species